CGGUCCUAAGGUAGCGAAAUUCCUUGUCGGGUAAGUUCCGACCUGCACGAAUGGCAUAAUGAUGGCCAGGCUGUCUCCACCCGAGACUCAGUGAAAUUGAAAUCGCCGUGAAGAUGCGGUGUACCCGCGGCUAGACGGAAAGACCCCGUGAACCUUUACUAUAGCUUGACACUGAACAUUGAAUUUUGAUGUGUAGGAUAGGUGGGAGCCUUUGAAGCAGUCACGCCAGUGAUUGUGGAGGCGUCCUUGAAAUACCACCCUUUAACGUUUGAUGUUCUAACGAAGAUUACGAAACGUGGUCUCGGACAGUGUCUGGUGGGUAGUUUGACUGGGGCGGUC
rnacentral:rRNA from 1 species